UUUGAAGCAGCCGCUCUCUUGUUACUGGAUUGCUCGAUGAAGCUAACUGCUGAAGAUGAAGCAAUUCAGGAAAUAAAAGGUCAAGCUGUUCUUUUCUGGGAUUCUGAGUGGACUGAGGCCUGGCUGUGCAGCAACGAAAAAAUGCAGCUAUGAAGGUCAGAAAAACAGCUGGUGACCCUCUCGUGUCAUGCCAGUGGGGAGUUUUCAGUCCUUCAUGAUGAAGCCUCUUCUUGAAUAGUCUGUAGCUCGGUCAUGGAUCUCUGGAUGAUUAACAACAUUAGAUCUGAAGUUUCAAGUCAGGUCCAUCUUUAUAGUCCUUCAUGACGAAGCACAUGCAAAAAUAGCUGAUAUCUAGAUUUCAAGGACUAUUUUGAUUACACCCUGGAAUAUUUGAUUAUGCCUAUCUAAGUUUUACUUGUUAUAAACUUGGAAUAAGGAGUAAAGCUUAUUAUUUAUCUAUAUAUGGGAGACCCACGAAGAUGUUUACAAGACUAAUACUAGGGUUGGAGUGAAUUACUGAAGGAAUUUAUUCCACUGCGUCCAUGCAAAAAGUCCAGCUUCUCCUUUUACAUCAUUGCACCUCCAAGAGUUCAUCUUCAUCUAUUCAUGGCAUAUUUGUGAUGGGCUUCACUGCUUUCAA